rnacentral:rRNA from 1 species
UACAGAGGAGCCAAGCGUUGUCCGGAUUGACUGGGCGUAAAGCGCACGCAGGCGGAUGCGCGCGUGGGGUGUGAAAUCUGGCCGCUUAACGGCCAGGCGCCAUCCCAUACGGCGCGUCUAGAGUGAUGCAGAGGUCGAUGGAAUUGCCGGUGUAGUGGUGAAAUGCGUAGAGAUCGGCAGGAACACCCAGGGGGAAACCAGUCGACUGGGCAUCUACUGACGCUGAGGUGCGAGAGCGUGGGGAGCGAACCGG